AAUUGUGUAACACAGUAACACGGCCACAAGCUGCCAGGCCUAAACUGUUAGAUCAACACAGUACAGAACUUCACAACACUGUUUAUUUUCAAAACUUCGAUACUUGUCAGGAAAAUUGUUGGAAUCGACUUCCGGCGAGGUGGUCAGCUCCAACCAGGAGGGGAGGUGACUCGAUCAUCUGAGGCGCGGCUCUGGAAAGAAGCUCAGGAAGCUGGAGCCACAUCCGCCACAACCUCCAUGUUUAAUUUGGUCAAACUGGAAGGCUCGAAACACUGCGCAACGUCUUUUCCCAGUGUUCUUGAUUCAAGAAGAUCAUCAUCAUCAACUGGUGUAUCCUGGUGCUAGGCCAGGAAAAUGAUCAAUGCUUUGCAAUAUGGCCAUUCCAUACACGAUCAUCAGGUGCACAGGAAGGUGGCGCGGCAUCAAUCGAAUGGCGGAGAGGAUGAAGAGCGACAUGUUGCGCCUGCAGGACCCUCCACGACAAGCAGCAUCGAACGAUGAAGCGCAAAUGCGAGCAGUCUCAGUCCACCAACCGACAGCGAUCCGGAUUUAAGUCUCUUUCUGGUGGACGUCUGGAGCACAGUCUGAACCCCCCAAUGGAGCAAUCGGGCAGCGAAGGUCUGCCU